CCUAAAUCAAAGAUCACACACUGACUUAAUAAACAGGUCCAGGAUGGUAGAAAUGAACAAAUGAAAUUGUUUGAGUAUAAGAAAAACCAAUGGUCACAAAAAAUGGGCUCAAUCUUUCUCUGUUUUUAUAGGAAAUGGAUUUCAAAGAGAGAAACUGGACUGUGACUAACAGCUAAUGUAAAUUCAAAGGGCUAAAUCUGAAUUCACUCCCUGUUAGUGAAAUAUGGUUCAAGAAACGUCAAGUAGGAAAAGAGCAGCAAAACAAAAGAGCAAAUCUACCUUGAUAGUGACUGGCAGGUGGAUGUCUACAAGUGUGGCACGGUAGAAGUCUAAACAAAGGGCCUGAGGGCCUGGGAUUUAGCUCGUGGUUGCGCCGCCUGCCCCGAAAGCGCAAGGACGCAGCAAAGGAUAUUGCAAAGUGACUCCGUCCGCAUGACAACACUCAGUAACUUCAAGAUAAAAAGGCAAAAUCUAGGCACUAUUUUUUGUACAACAACACACUCCUAUAGAUUUUUAAGAAGUCAUUGCAAAAUCCAUCUCUGUGCUACAAUCACAUGGACUAGACAUCUCCACACAAAGCC
rnacentral:lncRNA from 1 species